ACGAACGCUGGCGGCGUGCCUAAUCCAUGCAAGUAGAACGCACAGUUUAUACCGUAGCUUGCUACACCAUAGACUGUGAGUUGCGAACGGGUGAGUAACGCGUAGGUAACCUGCCUGGUAGCGGGGGAUAACUAUUGGAAACGAUAGCUAAUACCGCAUAAUAUUAAUUAUUGCAUGAUAAUUAAUUGAAAGGUGCAAUUGCACCACUACCAGAUGGACCUGCGUUGUAUUAGCUAGUAGGUGAGGUAACGGCUCACCUAGGCGACGAUACAUAGCCGACCUGAGAGGGUGAUCGGCCACACUGGGACUGAGACACGGCCCAGACUCCUACGGGAGGCAGCAGUAGGGAAUCAUCGGCAAUGGACGAAAGUCUGACCGAGCAACGCCGCGUGAGUGAAGAAGGUUUUCGGGUCGUAAAGCUCUGUUGUAAGAGAAGAACGGGUGUGAGAGUGGAAAGUUCACACUGUGACGGUAUCUUACCAGAAAGGGACGGCUAACUACGUG
rnacentral:rRNA from 1 species